UUAUGGGAUGGUGAGAUAUUUUGCUAACAGACAAACAAAAACACGAGCAAAAACAUUACAACCCACCUUUUGGCAGUAGAGUUAGACUUGUUUAAAUAUUUGUUUCAGUGUUGGGAGAUAAAUUAUGGGAUGGACUUCAAAAAAAGAAUGAAAAUAUAUAUUUAAGGACUAUGGAGUAACAUCACUAAUGUGAAUUUUAUUGAGGCAAUAUUAAGCUUUGGCUUCAGCCUUCCGUUUUUUCGGUUUCAGGUUUUUUUUUAAAUUGUUUUUGUGAAACGAACCUUCCUAAAUGUUUUUAAUAAACACAAACUAAAUAAAAAGAUGUACCAUACAGGUAUUUGUCUUUAGGGAGGAAGUCGAAGAACAGAAUCUACUUCUGUUGGGUAUUUUUAUAAAUGUACCUUUUUGAGACCUAAAAGAUGCCCAUUACACAUCAUGAAUCUCUGUGUUGGUAUGUUCAUAAAAAGGUUGAGCAAAGAUGUUAAUUGAGAGAACUCUGUAACUUGAGAAGGUCCGCCUUCUCCCCCCAUCCAUUUGGUGAAUAAAGCCCCUGAAGAACUGGGAGCACAGGGGAGUGACGUGGGGGAAGCCUCGGAGGAGGUUUCUCUGCGUUAACUCUCCAUGCAUUUGGAGACUCAGGGUAAAAUGUCUUCCUUGUUGUCAUGUGGGUUUAUUUCAGGUUCCAGGGUUAUGGAGGUUAAGUAUUAUCUACCAGAUAAUUGCAGAAUGCAGGUAUACAGAGCAGGUGAGGAUAAAGCUUUGAGGCUGAAGCAGAAUGGGGCCUGGUUGAGCUACACACAUGGACAUUACAAAUAAUCAAUUUACUCUCUCUCUCUAUCAAAGGGUGUGUCGUCCUUUAAGGUAAUAUGGGAUAAAAUCAAAUUACCUAACAAGUGGUGGAGGAUGCGGGCAAGGCAGAGCCGUCGAUGGGAAGCUGGCUUCGGGGAGCGGUACAGGCGCCACUUACCUCAUCAAAGCCCGGGGAACUAAAAUUGUUUCACCGGCCGGCUUUUUAGCCUUGCAGGCAGAUUCCCAUUCAAGCUCUCGCCUUCCCGAACUCAGGACGAAAUUACCACGGAGAGUAGGUUAAUUCAUUAAUUCAUUAAGCUAAUUCAGUAAUUUGUGUCUGUUUCUUUAACCACUGGCAGUGUGGUUUGAGUUGAUUGAGGAGGGCCAGUUGCGGCCGUGUGUGUGUGUGAACCUCUUGAGAGUAUGAGAAAGUUGAUGACCGGAAAAAGACGUGUGAGAUUGUUUUGGCUAAAAUUGGUUUGAGUCUGUUUCUGGUAAGGGGAGACUGUGGAUCAGCUCUGGUGAGCUCUGGAGAGCAGAGUUCCGGUGGGAGUUCGCUUCGCAGUCUGGCAGCUGAAUAGCACACUGGGCAAGACAGGCUGGGAGACUCCUUGAUUUGUGUCCUGCUGUGAUGUGAAGAUGGGAACUCGAUUAACAGGUGAUAAAGAUCAGUGGCUGGCUGCAUUGGUUCCUGCAGAAAACAUCAGAGGACACAGAUCGGGGACAAGACGCUUUGUGCCCCAUUGACCCUCAACAACCAGGAAGGUAUUGUGAUUGCAACACAAGAUGGUUUGCUAUGUCCUGUCCUGAUACUCUCCGAAUGCAGGAAUGGCUCAGACUCAGGAGAAGAGUGUCGAUGAAAAGACUUCAGAGGAUCUGAGUUCCUUUGAGCAAGCAGCUGUGGAAGUUGAACGCAUGUCUAACAGAAUGCAAAUUGGUCUGUGCCUGUGGCAUCCUGCUGUGGGUCUUUGAAACGUUUGUGACUUGUAGGUGUGUUGAAAAGGAGGUGGAGCCCACAAUCCAAGAUGGAGGAAGCACGAAAGACGUGGCUAACUGCUGACUUGCAGUCCAAGACGGAAGUGACACAAACCACCGUCACCAGCUGAGCUAAUGUUAAACCACAAACCAAGUGGAUCAGUUAGCCCAAACCGGUACCAACCUGUAAGCUGAUGUAAAACCACAAAACCCGCUGUGGGCCAGUCAGCUCUCUCAGGAAGUGACCUGCGUCGACACGUCAGCGGGACGACGCAAAGCUGAGAGCACAGUGUGACCGAGAUAUCACACCUGAACUGGAGAUGAGGUGCAGAGGUCAAACACCAACUUCAGGAGGGAACCAGAACUGCAGGUCAGCCAGCCACAGAAAACUCAAAACCUGUGACACCUGUUCAGUCCUACAAGCGAUCGAUUGCAGCACAGGAGGUAACGACGGAUGUGGAGCAGAAGAUCCACAAGUGUUUGAUGACAAAUGAUAUGGGUUACUUUAAUAAAGCUAGGAAUUCAAGAUUAUUAUGUAGGUUUUGGUGUCUAGAUUAUUCAUUCCUAAUUCCAGGUUUUAACUCUUGCUCUGGGUUUUGUUGACAGGAUAAUCAUUGCUCAAAGGUAGCAUUCAGGGGGGAUAAGUUAAUGAAGCUAGAAAUACAGGAUAAAAUUGGGUUUGAUGUCUGGUUUAAUGUUGAACUAAAAUCUGAUUGAUUAAUUGGUCAUUUCAAAUUCCAGGUUAGGUGUGUCCUAAUUUCAUGUUAAUGUUGUUUUAUUGGUUUAAUCUUUUAUUGCUCAAAAAGUCACAUCAGGAGGGAAUGUUGGGUAUUUUUAUAAUUGUACCUUUUUGAGACCUAAAAGAUGCCCAUUACACAUCAUGAAUCUCUGUGUUGGUAUGUUCAUAAAAAGGUUGAGCAAAGAUGUUAAUUGAGAGAACUCUGUAACUUGAGAAGGUCCGCCUUCUCCCCCCAUCCAUUUGGUGAAUAAAGCCCCUGAAGAACUGGGAGCACAGGGGAGUGACGUGGGGGAAGCCUCGGAGGAGGUUUCUCUGCGUUAACUCUCCAUGCAUUUGGAGACUCAGGGUAAAAUGUC